rnacentral:rRNA from 1 species
CACGUAGGGACCGAGCGUUGUCCGGAAUCAUUGGGCGUAAAGAGCGUGUAGGCGGCCUGUUAAGUCUUGCGUGAAAUCUCGGGGCUCAACCCCGAGCGGUCGUGAGAAACUGGCAGGCUAGAGUGCGGGAGAGGAGAGUGGAAUUCCUGGUGUAGCGGUGAAAUGCGUAGAUAUCAGGAGGAACACCUGUGGCGAAAGCGGCGCACUGGACCACAACUGACGCUGAGGCGCGAAAGCUAGGGGAGCAAACAGG